rnacentral:rRNA from 1 species
GACGUAGGGCGCGAGCGUUGUCCGGAUUUAUUGGGCGUAAAGAGCUCGUAGGCGGUUUGUCACGUCGGCCGUGAAAACUCGGGGCUCAACCCCGAGCCUGCGGUCGAUACGGGCAGACUAGAGUGCUGUAGGGGAGACUGGAAUUCCUGGUGUAGCGGUGGAAUGCGCAGAUAUCAGGAGGAACACCGGUGGCGAAGGCGGGUCUCUGGGCCGAUACUGACGCUGAGGAGCGAAAGCGUGGGGAGCGAACAGG